rnacentral:rRNA from 1 species
AGCGACCACAUCAUAUUGAAACACCAGUUCACGUAUGAUCACCAGAGUUAAGCAACAUUGAGUCUAUUCAGUACCUAGAUGGGUUUACCACUUGGGAAUACCAGCUGCUGUAAG